GUACACACCGCCCGUCACACCAUGGGAGUGGGUUUCAYCAGAAGUAGGUAGCCUAACCGCAAGGAGGGCGCUUGCCACGGUGAGAUUCAUGACUGGGGUGAAGUCGUAACAAGGUAWCCGUAGGUGAACCUGCAGAAGGAUCA
rnacentral:rRNA from 1 species